GAUGAACGCUGGCGGCGUGCCUAAUACAUGCAAGUCGAGCGAACAGACGAGGAGCUUGCUCCUCUGACGUUAGCGGCGGACGGGUGAGUAACACGUGGAUAACCUACCUAUAAGACUGGGAUAACUUCGGGAAACCGGAGCUAAUACCGGAUAAUAUAUUGAACCGCAUGGUUCAAUAGUGAAAGACGGUUUUGCUGUCACUUAUAGAUGGAUCCGCGCCGCAUUAGCUAGUUGGUAAGGUAACGGCUUACCAAGGCAACGAUGCGUAGCCGACCUGAGAGGGUGGUCGGCCACACUGGAACUGAGACACAGUCCAGACUCCUACGGGAGGCAGCAGUAGGGAAUCUUCCGCAAAGGGCGAAAGCCUGACGGAGCAACGCCGCGUGAGUGAUGAAGGUCUUCGGAUCGUAAAACUCUGUUAUUAGGGAAGAACAAAUGUGUAAGUAACUAUGCACGUCUUGACGGUACCUAAUCAGAAAGCCACGGCUAACUACGUG
rnacentral:rRNA from 1 species